rnacentral:ncRNA from 1 species
GCGCAAGCGGCGGAGGCAUGUGGCGUUAAUUCGACGCAACGCGAAGAACCUUACCAAGGCUUGACAUACACCGGAAAACCCUCGGAGACAGGGUCCCCCUUCGUGGUCGGUGUACAGGUGGUGCAUGGCUGUCGUCAGCUCGUGUCGUGAGAUGUUGGGUUAAGUCCCGCAACGAGCGCAACCCUUGUCCCGUGUUGCCAGCAGGCCCUUGUGGUGCUGGGGACUCACGGGAGACCGCCGGGGUCAACUCGGAGGAAGGUGGGGACGACGUCAAGUCAUCAUGCCCCUUAUGUCUUGGGCUGCACACGUGCUACAAUGGCCGGUACAAUGAGCUGCGAU